rnacentral:rRNA from 1 species
CAGCAGCCGCGGUAAUACAGAGGGUGCGAGCGUUAAUCGGAUUUACUGGGCGUAAAGCGUGCGUAGGCGGCUUUUUAAGUCGGAUGUGAAAUCCCUGAGCUUAACUUAGGAAUUGCAUUCGAUACUGGGAAGCUAGAGUAUGGGAGAGGAUGGUAGAAUUCCAGGUGUAGCGGUGAAAUGCGUAGAGAUCUGGAGGAAUACCGAUGGCGAAGGCAGCCAUCUGGCCUAAUACUGACGCUGAGGUACGAAAGCAUGGGGAGCAAACAGGAUUAGAUACCCCAGUAGUCCCUGUCUCUUAUAC